CUCGGACAGAACUGGGAGUGUGUGUGAACUGUCUGUGUGUUUAUGUGGGUGUUUUGUGUGUGUACAUAUUCUGCAAUUCUAUGACAGUGUCUGCUUAUCCAACUGUGCCAAUAUGAGAAUAUGUGAUUUGCUUACAAGGUGACACUGCAUCAGUCUUGGCGGACAUGUUUGGCAGCUUGUCAAUAGAGGAAAGACUAGACGUAUGAAGAUGGUGGAAUGCACAGCUUUUUACAAUUUACGAUUCCAACUGCCUGGAAGCACAAACCAUCAGCCCAGAGGAGAGAACAGUCUGGAAAAUCAAUGACAAGGAACAUUCUCUCAUGGUCUCUGUCUAGCACCUGGUAAUAAGUUGACACCCUUACAUCCCCCUUCGUGUGAGACACCAGAUUCAGGUUGCUGAUGGAUCUGACUUCUGCUUUAACCAGCCUCUCCUCCUCUCUUCUUUCCUCUCCUUUGUCAUCUUACCAUUAAAGGGGUCAUGAAAUACUAUUUUUUAUAAUUGUAUUAUCUUCCCUGA